rnacentral:rRNA from 1 species
AGCAGCCGCGGUAAUUCCCCCAGCUACAAUAGGUAUAUAAAAGUUGUUGCAGUUAAAAAGCUCGUAGUUGAAUUUCGGAGUUUGUCGGUUGGUCGGGCUUCACUGUCCGCACUGGCCUGAUAGAUUCCUACCUUUUGAAUAACCAGCAUGCUAUUAAUUUAGUGCGUUGGGGAAGCAGAGCUAUUACCUUGAAAAAAUUAGAGUGCUUAAAGCAGGCUUAUGCUUGAAUAGAUUAGCAUGGAAUAAUAAAAUAGGACGGCUUGGUUUUAUUUUGUUGGUUUCUAGGAUCACCGUAAUGAUUAAUAGGGAUAGUUGGGGGCAUUAGUAUUCAAUUGUCAGAGGUGAAAUUCUUGGAUUUAUUGAAGACUAACUUCUGCGAAAGCAUUUGCCAAGGAUGUUUUCAUUAAUCAAGAACGAAAGUUAGGGGAUCGAAGACGAUCAGAUACCGUCGUAGUCUUAACCAUAAACUAUGCCG